rnacentral:rRNA from 1 species
AGCGAACGCUGGCGGCAGGCUUAACACAUGCAAGUCGAACGGGCGUAGCAAUACGUCAGUGGCAGACGGGUGAGUAACGCGUGGGAACGUACCUUUUGGUUCGGAACAACACAGGGAAACUUGUGCUAAUACCGGAUAAGCCCUUACGGGGAAAGAUUUAUCGCCGAAAGAUCGGCCCGCGUCUGAUUAGCUAGUUGGUGGGGUAAAGCCCACCAAGGCGACGAUCAGUAGCUGGUCUGAGAGGAUGAUCAGCCACAUUGGGACUGAGACACGGCCCAAACUCCUACGGGAGGCAGCAGUGGGGAAUAUUGGACAAUGGGCGCAAGCCUGAUCCAGCCAUGCCGCGUGAGUGAUGAAGGCCUUAGGGUUGUAAAGCUCUUUUACCCGAGAUGAUAAUGACAGUAUCGGGAGAAUAAGCUCCGGCUAACUCCGUGCCAGCAGCCGCGGUAAU